rnacentral:rRNA from 1 species
GACGAACGCUGGCGGCGUGCCUAAUACAUGCAAGUCGAACGCAGUGGGGACGGGUGAGUAACACGUGGGUAACCUCCCAUCAGAGGGGAUAACACUUGGAAACAGGUGCUAAACCGAUAUUGAUGUAUGGACCCGCGGUGCAUUAGCGAGUUGGUGAGGUAACGGCGCACCAAGGCCACUAUGCAUAGCCGGCCUGAGAGGGUUAUCGGCCAAACUGGGACUGAGACACGGCCCAGGCUCCUACGGGAGGCAGAGUUAGGGAAUCUGCGGCAAUGGACGAAAGGCUGACCGAGCGACGCCGCGUGAGUGAAGAAGGUUUUCGGAUCGUAAAACUCUGUUGUUAGAGAAGCGGUAUCUAACCAGAAAGCCACGGCUAACUACGUGCCAGCAGCCGCGGUAAUUC